rnacentral:rRNA from 1 species
AACACAUGGCAAGUCGAGCGGUAGCACAGAGAGCUUGCUCUCGGGUGACGAGCGGCGGACGGGUGAGUAAUGUCUGGGAAACUGCCUGAUGGAGGGGGAUAACUACUGGAAACGGUAGCUAAUACCGCAUAACGUCGCAAGACCAAAGUGGGGGACCUUCGGGCCUCAUGCCAUCAGAUGUGCCCAGAUGGGAUUAGCUAGUAGGUGGGGUAACGGCUCACCUAGGCGACGAUCCCUAGCUGGUCUGAGAGGAUGACCAGCCACACUGGAACUGAGACACGGUCCAGACUCCUACGGGAGGCAGCAGUGGGGAAUAUUGCACAAUGGGCGCAAGCCUGAUGCAGCCAUGCCGCGUGUGUGAAGAAGGCCUUCGGGUUGUAAAGCACUUUCAGCGGGGAGGAAGGCGAUAAGGUUAAUAACCUUGUCGAUUGACGUUACCCGCAGAAGAAGCACCGGCUAACUCCGUGCCAGCAGCCGCGGUAAUACGGAGGGUGCAAGCGUUAAUCGGAAUUACUGGGCGUAAAGCGCACGCAGGCGGUCUGUCAAGUCGGAUGUGAAAUCCCCGGGCUCAACCUGGGAACUGCAUUCGAAACUGGCAGGCUAGAGUCUUGUAGAGGGGGGUAGAAUUCCAGGUGUAGCGGUGAAAUGCGUAGAGAUCUGGAGGAAUACCGGUGGCGAAGGCGGCCCCCUGGACAAAGACUGACGCUCAGGUGCGAAAGCGUGGGGAGCAAACAGGAUUAGAUACCCUGGUAGUCCACGCCGUAAACGAUGUCGAUUUGGAGGUUGUGCCCUUGAGGCGUGGCUUCCGGAGCUAACGCGUUAAAUCGACCGCCUGGGGAGUACGGCCGCAAGGUUAAAACUCAAAUGAAUUGACGGGGGCCCGCACAAGCGGUGGAGCAUGUGGUUUAAUUCGAUGCAACGCGAAGAACCUUACCUGGUCUUGACAUCCACAGAACUUAGCAGAGAUGCUUUGGUGCCUUCGGGAACUGUGAGACAGGUGCUGCAUGGCUGUCGUCAGCUCGUGUUGUGAAAUGUUGGGUUAAGUCCCGCAACGAGCGCAACCCUUAUCCUUUGUUGCCAGCGGUUCGGCCGGGAACUCAAAGGAGACUGCCAGUGAUAAACUGGAGGAAGGUGGGGAUGACGUCAAGUCAUCAUGGCCCUUACGACCAGGGCUACACACGUGCUACAAUGGCAUAUACAAAGAGAAGCGACCUCGCGAGAGCAAGCGGACCUCAUAAAGUAUGUCGUAGUCCGGAUUGGAGUCUGCAACUCGACUCCAUGAAGUCGGAAUCGCUAGUAAUCGUAGAUCAGAAUGCUACGGUGAAUACGUUCCCGGGCCUUGUACACACCGCCCGUCACACCAUGGGAGUGGGUUGCAAAAGAAGUAGGUAGCUUAACCUUCGGGAGGGCGCUACCACUUUGAUCAGUGGA